rnacentral:rRNA from 1 species
GGGGCAACCCUGGUGGCGAGUGGCGAACGGGUGAGUAAUGCAUCGGAACGUGCCCAUUGAUGGGGGAUAACUGCGCGAAAGCGUUGCUAAUACCGCAUACGACCUACGGGUGAAAGCAGGGGACCGCAAGGCCUUGCGUCGAUGGAGCGGCCGAUGUCGGAUUAGCUUGUUGGUGAGGUAAAGGCUCACCAAGGCGACGAUCCGUAGCUGGUCUGAGAGGACGACCAGCCACACUGGGACUGAGACACGGCCCAGACUCCUACGGGAGGCAGCAGUGGGGAAUCUUGGACAAUGGGCGAAAGCCUGAUCCAGCAAUGCCGCGUGUGGGAAGAAGGCCUUCGGGUUGCAGACCACUUUUGGCAGGAAAGAAAUCGUUUGCGAUAAUACCGCGAAUGGAUGACGGUACCUGCAGAAUAAGCACCGGCUAACUACGUGCCAGCAGCCGCGGUAAUACGUAGGGUGCGAGCGUUAAUCGGAAUUACUGGGCGUAAAGCGUGCGCAGGCGGUUGGAAAAGAUAGAUGUGAAAUCCCUGGGCUCAACCUAGGAAUUGCACUUAUGA